ACGAACGCUGGCGGCGUGCUUAACACAUGCAAGUCGCGCGGAAAGGCCCUUUCGGGGGUACUCGAGCGGCGAACGGGUGAGUAACACGUGAGUAAUCUGCCCUUCACUUGGGGAUAACCUCCGGAAACGGUGGCUAAUACCCGAUACGACCAUUCCUCGCAUGAGGUGGUGGUGGAAAGUUUUUCGGUGGGGGAUGUGCUCGCGGCCUAUCAGCUUGUUGGUGGGGUAAUGGCCUACCAAGGCUUCGACGGGUAGCCGGCCUGAGAGGGUGACCGGCCACACUGGGACUGAGACACGGCCCAGACUCCUACGGGAGGCAGCAGUGGGGAAUAUUGGACAAUGGGCGGAAGCCUGAUCCAGCAACGCCGCGUGAGGGAUGACGGCCUUCGGGUUGUAAACCUCUUUCACCUGUGACGAAGCGAAAGUGACGGUAGCAGGAGAAGAAGCACCGGCCAACUACGUG
rnacentral:rRNA from 1 species